rnacentral:rRNA from 1 species
CCUACGGGUGGCUGCAGUCGAGAAUCAUUCACAAUGGGGGAAACCCUGAUGGUGCGACGCCGCGUGGGGGAAUGAAGGUCUUCGGAUUGUAAACCCCUGUCAUGUGGGAGCAAAUUAAAAAGAUAGUACCACAAGAGGAAGAGACGGCUAACUCUGUGCAAGCAGCCGCGGUAAUACAGAGGUCUCAAGCGUUGUUCGGAAUCACUGGGCGUAAGGCGUGCGUUGGCUGUUUCGUAAGUCGUGUGUGAAAGGCGGAGGCUCAACCCGCGGACGGCACAUGAUACUGGGAGACUAGAGUAAUGGAGGGGGAGCCGGAAUUCUCGGUGUAGCAGUGAAAUGCGUAGAUAUCGAGAGGAACACUCAGGGCGAAGGCAGGUUCCUAGACAUUAACUGACGCUGAGGCACGAAGGCCAGGGGAGCGAAAGGGAUUAGAUACCCCAGUAGUC